ACGGAAGGCAGCAGUGGGGAAUAUUGCACAAUGGGGGAAACCCUGAUGCAGCGACGCCGCGUGAGUGAUGAAGUAUUUCGGUAUGUAAAGCUCUAUCAGCAGGGAAGAUAAUGACGGUACCUGACUAAGAAGCACCGGCUAAAUACGUGCCUGCAGCCGCGGUAAUACGUAUGGUGCAAGCGUUAUCCGGAUUUAUUGGGUGUAAAGGGUGCGUAGACGGGAAAAUAAGUUAGUUGUGAAAUCCCUCGGCUUAACUGAGGAACUGCAACUAAAACUGUUUUUCUUGAGUACUGGAGAGGAAAGUGGAAUUCCUAGUGUAGCGGUGAAAUGCGUAGAUAUUAGGAGGAACACCAGUGGCGAAGGCGACUUUCUGGACAGAAACUGACGUUGAGGCACGAAAGUGUGGGGAGCAAACAGGAUUAGAUACCCUGGUA
rnacentral:rRNA from 1 species